AACGAACGCUGGCGGCAGGCCUAACACAUGCAAGUCGAGCGCCCCGCAAGGGGAGCGGCGGACGGGUGAGUAACGCGUGGGAACGUACCCUUUGCUACGGAAUAGCCUCGGGAAACUGGGAGUAAUACCGUAUGUGCCCUUCGGGGGAAAGAUUUAUCGGCAAAGGAUCGGCCCGCGUUGGAUUAGGUAGUUGGUGGGGUAAUGGCCCACCAAGCCGACAAUCCAUAGCUGGUUUGAGAGGAUGAUCAGCCACACUGGGACUGAGACACGGCCCAGACUCCUACGGGAGGCAGCAGUGGGGAAUCUUAGACAAUGGGCGCAAGCCUGAUCUAGCCAUGCCGCGUGAGCGAUGAAGGCCUUAGGGUUGUAAAGCUCUUUCAGUGGGGAAGAUAAUGACUGUACCCACAGAAGAAGCCCCGGCUAACUCCGUGCCAGCCGCCGCCGUAAUAC
rnacentral:rRNA from 1 species